UCCUCAUUUCAGUAGGAGUCAUUUGAUGAGACAGACCUUGAGGAAGCUCCAGGACUUCUCCUUCCCGUUGUUGAUGAGAACACGACAGAUCCUGUUCACUACACUGACUGGAGUCUCCUGAUCUUCACGCUUCAUCACGCAGACGCUGAGCAGCUCAUCUCAUCUCAUCUCCUUCACAAACUUUUACUUACUUGAAGGAUAUUAGACAACAAGCUUCUUAACUCACUGGAUCUUGACAAAUUGCCUUUUCUGGACCUCUGUCCUCCUUCUCCAUCCCUGAUGGACCAUUUAUCUUCUUUCUGAUGGUCUCAGUCCAGUGUGAACAUCAUUCUGUGUCUCUUUGUUCAACAUCUUCUAGUUCAGUUGUGGGACAGAACCAGAGGAGUCACUACUCAGUGACCGUGUGGACCAGCUGGAGGAACGUGAUCCAGGAUUUAAUGCAGAAACUUCUUCCUCUUCCUCUGCCACUGCGUCUCAAGGCCACCUUCACGUCCGUCAGCAUGCACAGAACCAGAACCUCAAACACAAAGAGUUUCACAUCAAAACACUUCUUCACCUCCGCCUUGCAAUCCCGCGUUCAAAGCAUCGGAAGGAUGAAACUCGCAGGCUUCCUGCUGUUCAUGUGGAAAUGAGAAAUCUCUAAUCUCUGCUCAGAUGGAAAUCUCACACACACACACACUCACACGCAAGCAAUCAGCACAGUAUCAAAGGUACACUACAGGUUUAUGCACACACACACACACACACACACACACACCUCUGACUCGUCCGGAACGCCGCUGCCGCAGGAAUGCUGAUGUGAGCUGAAGGAGGAACGGCUUCAACAUGCAGGACAACACACACACACACACACACACACACACACACACACACACACACACACACACACUGAUAGCUGAAGUCUUAAAAACACAGACAUUCACUCAUUAGAGUUAAACGAGGGAUGAAUAAAGAUUACUCAAAACUUCAUUACAAUCAUUUUCAAAUAUUUUCUCAGACUCUCAUGAGGAACCCACAAACAAUCCAUAAAGAACCCAUGGUUCUGUGGUUUAUGAGGAGAGCAGCAGUUUCCUUCCAGUUCAUUAUUUAUUUUUGUUUGCAGUUUCUUUUAUUUUGUCACGGCAGAUGUUUGUUUGUUUAUUUGUUUCUUGUUUUUUUCUUUUAUUCUUUUUUUUUUUACAUCAUGCUUCAUUUACCUCCUCACCAAACUCACUGCUUUUUACUGAUGCUGUAGUUUUUCCCUGGUUUCUGCAAAUCACACUGCUUUCUACUUUUGUUUGUCUUUUUAUCUAGUGCGGUUCUUUUCCCAUGCCUCAUGCCUCUCCACACAUCACGUCUUCUUUCAUUUGUUUGUUUCUUUUGAGGUUCUUCUUCUCAUCUUCACACAUCUCUUUUAGUUAUUUUUGUUCUUAUAAUGGUUCUUCACCUUGUUGUUUUAGCGAGCACAGAUCUGUUCUCCAAAGCUGCUAUCACGGUUCUUCACUCUCGUCUCCUCUCAUCUCCUGAAAGUCUGCGUGGCCUCGGAACCUCUGCAGACCCUCAGUCUCUCCACUCUGUCUUCACUGACCUCUAGAACACAAUCAGAGCCCAGACUUCUCCUUCUCCUUUAUCCCAGAGAACUUCAGCCACUUGACCUGGAACCUGGAGAUGUUUCUGAGUGAAGACGACGAUGGAGAUGGAACAGAUUCUUUACUUUUCAGAAAAAAAACUGAAGGCUAAAAAUCUCACACACACACACACACACACACACACACACACACACACACACACACACACACACUGACACACAGCGCUCUAGUUGAGGUGUUCAUGUGGAGUCAUGUGGAGCGUGUACAGGUGAUCCUCAGCGUGUUCCUCAUCACGACUUCCUCAGAUCUCCGUUGUGGUCCAUGUUCAUGUGUGUCGUUAGCGGCACAGAAACGCUGAUGGAUCAGAGCCGAGAGACAGACGGAGUCAGACAGAGACAGAUGGAGUCAGACAGAGACAGACGGAGAGAGAUGGAGUCAGACGGAGACAGACGGAGACAGACAGAGACAGACGGAGGAGAUCGUUACCCUUCUACUGAGACCCGAAGCUCUGGCGUUUCACUGAGCUGAAGAGAAAAACAGCUUUCUGCAGGUUACAGUGUGAGACUGUGAGGAGACGCUGAGAUAAAGAGUUCUCCUGCUGAGUCCUGCCUCAGAGCAAUAACACAGAAAUGCUGACAAAGUACAGAAGUGUCCAUAAAGUGUUCAUAAAGGCUUCUUAAGCAUCUACUGUAUAAAUGUUCGUAAAGUGUUCUUAAAUGUUCAUACAUUUUGGUUCAUAUAUCAGGCGUUCAUAUGUAUUUUUAAGUGUUCAUAAAGGUUUCCUCUUAAGUCUUCAUAAGCAUUCCAAAGUGUUUAUAAAUGCUCAGAAGUCUUCAUAAGUGUGUAAUAAAUAAUACAAAGUAGUGUGAUGAAGUGUUUUAUUCCUUUA